CAUUGUUCCUGCGGGAGUGGUCCUUCCAGGGCCACUUAGGAGACAAGAGUUCCCCACAAAGUGCCUGAUGUUAGGCCAGGGGGAUGAGUUUAAGUGGAAAUUGUCAGUGUUAGAUUUUUCUGGGCGCUCUGUCCAGCCAACAGGUACUGGGUCUGGAUUUGCAUUUCUAUCAUGUCCCCAGAGGAAACUGAUGCUGUUGGACCAGGGGCACACAUGGAGAACCAGAAAUGAGCGGCAUCCUUUUCCACCCUGCUGCACUAGAGAUUCACUGGAAGAUCUUUGGAAGAGAUGGAUGCCUUUGCUCCACCUGAGACCAAACAAAUUAGAAGUCAAACCCAGGCUUCUGGGUAUCAGUUCUCUACGGGAAUCUCCUGCAGAGUCAAGACGGGGACCUACUCACAGGUGGAGGAUGAUAUUUCCAGCAGGUUUGACAGAAAGCACUGUCUGCCCAUCAUUUCCAUAGAUUGCGGUGGUCUCACGGGCAGAAAAAUGAAACAAAUGCAAAGAAGAUGGAGAGGGGUGAGUCAUUCUGUGGUCUUUAUCUUGGUUUGAGAGUUUCUGACUUUUUCAUUGUGUAUUUGAAUACGAAUCACUUGUAGUAACAAUACAGAUAUUGACAGAGAAGUGGGAGCU
rnacentral:lncRNA from 1 species